rnacentral:rRNA from 1 species
AUUGAACGCUGGCGGCAGGCCUAACACAUGCAAGUCGCACGAGCGGUGGACGGGUGAGUAAUGUCUGGGGAACUGCCUGCUGGAGGGGGAUAACUACUGGAAACGGUAGCUAAUACCGCAUACCAUCGGAUGUGCCCAGAUGGGAUUAGCUAGUAGGUGGGGUAACGGCUCACCUAGGCGACGAGCCCUAGCUGGUCUGAGAGGAUGACCAGCCACACUGGGACUGAGACACGGGCCAGACUCCUACGGGAGGCAGCAGUGGGGAAUAUUGCACAAGGGGCGCAAGCCUGAUGCAGCCAUGCCGCGGGUAUGAAGAGGGCCUGCGGGUGGUAAAGUACUUUCAGCGGGGAGGCGUUACCCACAGAAGAAGCACCGGCUAACUCCGUGCCAGCCGCCGCGGUAAUUC